CUCCUCAGAGACCGGUGGUCUGACCCGGGGACCAACGGUCAGGGACGUGAACCACGAAGAGCAGGCGGCGGGCCGUGUCUUUAUAGAGGGCUGUCCAGCUGGAGGAGGGGGGGCAACAUGUGGCUGCAGGCUGGCAGGCGGAGAGGAGCGGAGUGUGUGCGGCCUCGGUCCCACAGCCGGCGCAGACGAGCCCGACCUUCCAGACUCCGCCGUUCGUAUUUGUUCUUCUUCACCUCGACUCCUGUAAGAGUCGGCCAUCUGAUGUACAGGUCAAGAGGAGAGGAAAUGGCAAUCCCAGCUGAAGAUCCAGAGGGGCCAAGGCUGGACCAUGAGAUGAACUUUGAGGAGAAACCCCAAAGUGAUGAAGACUAAAGCUGCUGCUGAUAUCUAUUUAAUAUUCAAACUAUCAAGUUUUAAAUACGAAAUAUUUCUUCAUCUUGCUUUUCAUAGCCAUGUGGCCAUAUGACUUUACAUUCUACUUUCAGCAAUAAUCAUUAUUGACUAUAGUAAUUGUUAAAUUAUUGAGAUAAUUUCAUUUCAAGAAAUUUAUUUAAAAUGACAUUUAGGUGGUAUUCAGGUUAUGCAUGAUCUGCACCUGUAUUCUUGCACUGAAUCACUACUUAAACUGGCAAAAUAGUUAUUGUCAGACUCAAAACGUACAGUAAUACUUUUUUAACCUAAGUAAAAACUUCACAUUGACAGUCUUUCUUGUAAAUGUUUAUUUUCUUUUUGUCUGAGUUUAAAUGAU